rnacentral:rRNA from 1 species
UACGUAGGGUGCAAGCGUUAAUCGGAAUUACUGGGCGUAAAGCGUGCGCAGGCGGUUUUGUAAGUCUGUCGUGAAAUCCCCGGGCUCAACCUGGGAAUUGCGAUGGAGACUGCAAGGCUAGAAUCUGGCAGAGGGGGGUAGAAUUCCACGUGUAGCAGUGAAAUGCGUAGAGAUGUGGAGGAACACCGAUGGCGAAGGCAGCCCCCUGGGUCAAGAUUGACGCUCAUGCACGAAAGCGUGGGGAGCAAACGAAGGAUAGAAACCCGGUG